rnacentral:lncRNA from 1 species
AAGCAUGCCAAAAUCACUUCUAAUCUCAAACAAAUAGCUCCAAAUCUGAUUUGUAAGCUCCUUAAAAUGUACCCAUGCUUUUGAAAUAACACUUAACCAAAACAAUUUAGAAACCUCACCGUCUGCAAAUUCAAACUCAAAGUUCGAAUGUUCGUCAAUGUAGUUAUGUGAUGUCUUCUUCACGAGAUAACUCUCUAAUCAGCACAAGUUUCGAAACAAGUUUGAGAUGGUUGUAAUUUGAUUGUUGAAUUACAAAUUUGAGAUGGUUGUAAUUCCAAAUUUGGUUGUAAUUUGAUUGUUGAAUUCAAUACCAAUUAAGAAGACGACG